GUUCGUGGCACAUUACCACGUUUCCGUUACGAUAAAUUAAUGUACUUAGCUUGAAAAAGUUUUUUGCCAUUAUCUUUAAAUUUUUUGUAUUUUCUUUGUUGGUUUAAAGAUUUUAUUUAUUUCAUUUAUUUAGUGAAAUUUUUUUAAGAAAAGUUAAUAGAAGAGUUAAACUUCUAGUUUUAUGUUUUCAAAACAUAUGCUUUUCCUAAGCUAAUUAACUUAUUAUUCCUUAAUUAGCUUAUCUCAUGCGUUUGCAACAUGCACAUUAAUUAAGAAGUAUGUAAAGUAAAUAAUUGUUAAGAUUUGUCCUGUUAUAAUAUAAGGUUCUUCAACAGGCCGUUUUCCAAUUCAUGUUAAUAAGCAUACAACAACUACUAUAAUUCAGAAUAAAAUCUGGUUGAUAGGAUAGAAUUGAAUACCUCGGAAUGGUGUUUUAUUAUAAAAUGGUAAAAUUAUUAAGAUUCUAAUUGAUAGGAAUAACGCAAUAACACCUCCAAGUUUAUUAGGGAUUGACCGAAGAAUUGCAUAUGCAAAUAAGAAGUACCAUUCUGGUUGAAUAUGGACAGGAGUUACUAAUGGGUUGGCAGGUACAAAAUUAUCCGGAUCUCCUAGGAGGUAAGGAUUGAUCAAGCACAAUAUAAUUAAUAAUGAUGUUAUUAAUACAAAUGUAAUAGAGUCCUUGAAAGUAAAGUAUGGGUGAAAUGGAAUUUUUUCAAUAUCUCCAUUUAGUCCUAAAGGGGUUAUUAGACCCUGUUUGGUGAAGGAAAAAUAAAUGAAUUGCUGCUAUUGCAGCAAUAAUAAAUGGUAAUACAAAAUGGAAUGUAAAGAAUCGAUUUAAUGUUGCAUUAUCAACAGCAAAUCCUCCUCACACUCAUUGAACUAAAUCUGUUCCUAAGUAUGGGAUUGCUGAUAAUAAAUUAGUAAUUACUGUUGCACCUCAGAAUGAUAUUUGACCUCAAGGUAAAACGUAUCCUAUAAAUGCAGUUGCUAUAACUAAAAAUAGGAUUACUGUACCAAUUAUUCAGGUGUGUAUGUAUAUAUAAGAUCCGUAGUAAAUUCCUCGUCCUACAUGCAAAUAAAUACAAAUAAAAAAUAUAGAAGCUCCAUUUGCAUGUAAGGUUCGAAUAAUUCAGCCAUUAUUUACAUCUCAGCAGAUGUGAACUACACUACUAAAUGCUAUUUCAAUAUUUGAUGUAUAAUGUAUAGCUAAAAAUAGUCCAGUUACAAUUUGAAUUACCAAACAUAGCCCUAGUAGGGACCCAAAA